rnacentral:rRNA from 1 species
GGAUUCGUCGGUUGGUCGGGCUUCACUGUCCGCACUGACCUGACGGAUUCCUACCUUCUGAAUAACCAGCAUGCUAUUAAGUUAGUGCGUUGGGGAAGCAGAGCUAUUACCUUGAAAAAAUUAGAGUGCUUAAAGCAGGCUUGUGCUUGAAUAGAUUAGCAUGGAAUAAUAAAAUAGGACGGCUUGGUUCUAUUUUGUUGGUUUCUAGGAUCACCGUA